UGUAUAAUGCGGCUCCGAAAGAAACGGUUCCAAGCCCGUGAAAACGCAGAGGAUACA
rnacentral:ribozyme from 2 species